GUGGAUUAGAUACCCUAGUAGUCCACGCCGUAAACGAUGGAUGCUAGCCGUCGGCCAGCUUGCUGGUCGGUGGCGCAGCUAACGCUUUAAGCAUCCCGCCUGGGGAGUACGGCCGCAAGGUUAAAACUCAAAGGAAUUGACGGGGGCCCGCACAAGCGGUGGAGCAUGUGGUUUAAUUCGACGCAACGCGAAGAACCUUACCAGCCCUUGACAUGUACCGGAAUGCCCGUAGAGACGUGGGCAGCCGCAAGGCCGGUACACAGGUGUUGCACGGCUGUCGUCAGCU
rnacentral:rRNA from 1 species